GUCUCAGGCCGUAUCAGCCCUGAAGGCGCCCGAUCUCGUCUGAUCUCGGAAGCUAAGCAGGGUCGGGCCUGGUUAGGAUCUUGGAUGGGAGACCACCUGGGAAUCCCGGGUGCUCGAGGCU
rnacentral:rRNA from 1 species